UUGGUUGUCAUGACAACCUCCUUGCUGUAGGGCUUUGUAACUAUGUGAGGGGUUGCAGGGAUGAAUCUGUGGCAGCCUUUGGGAGUCAGUCCUGAGCUUGAAGGACCCCUCACCCCAACUCCUGGGGACAGUGCUUCCUCUGCUCUCAUUGGUUACGAGGAGUUGGAAAGCAGAAGAGUAGAGCAGAAGUUCUCUGCUGCUGAGGACUGGCAUUGGGGGUGGUGAGGACGGAGCUUGGGCUUCACACAUCACUGGACAGAUCAGAGAAAACAAGAAGAGCGAGGUCAGCAGUCUGAAGCUACGUCACAGUCAUUCAAUCUGUGCUCCCUGUGUACCUUCAUACCGUCCACAAGGCUCCUCACCAUCUCCGUCUGGGCUGCUAUCUCUUCCAUCAACAGGUAUGUCAUCCUGGUGCAACCAUGAUGAGAUCAGGAAAAGGAGGAAUAUAGCCAGAAGCAGAGAAAUGCUGCCGCUGAGCGGGUCUACUCUCAUUGCUGCCAAGACAGAAAAUUCUGCCCAGAUUUGGGCUACUGUAUGUCCACUUGGGGAACCAGGGAGACUCACCCCAUAUUGAGCGGAGAGCGAUGGACAAUGGUCACAACUAUUUUUGGAAAAAUUACCCUGGAUAGAAAACUGAAAACUGGAUAAAAAGAACCC
rnacentral:lncRNA from 1 species